CCCUGCAGGACCUGCGGAAGACGGCCUACAGCCUGGACGCCCGGACGGAGACCCUCCUGCUGCAGGCCGAGCGCCGGGCCCUGUGUGCCUGCUGGCCGGCUGGGCGCUGAGGACCUGGAGCCAGCACUUUCCUUCAUCAAUAAACACCUGGCCCGGCA